UUUAUUGAUGAUAUCCCUAAGUGCCAUCUGAUGCGACAACUGACGAUGUUUCUCAUCCAAUUUUCGGAGA